UACGUAGGUGGCGAAGCGUUUGAUCCGGAAUUAUUGGGCGUAAAGGGCUCGCAGGCGGUCUUCUAAGUCUGACUGGUGAAAUCUUGGCGGCUUAACCGCAAGCGGUCAUUGGAAACUGGAGGAGGCUUGAGGUAACAGGAAGAGGAGAGGUGGGAAAUUCCACGUGUAGCGGUGAAAUGCGUAGAGAGUGUGGAGGAACACCAGUGGCGAAGGCGACUCUCUGGUCUGAUAACGUGACGCUGGAGGAGCG
rnacentral:rRNA from 1 species